rnacentral:rRNA from 1 species
UACGUAGGGUGCAAGCGUUAAUCGGAAUUACUGGGCGUAAAGCGUGCGCAGGCGGUGAUGUAAGACAGAUGUGAAAGCCCCGAGCUUAACCUGGGAACUGCAUUUGUGACUGCAUCGCUGGAGUGCGGCAGAGGGGGAUGGAAUUCCGCGUGUAGCAGUGAAAUGCGUAGAUAUGCGGAGGAACACCGAUGGCGAAGGCAAUCCCCUGGGCCUGCACUGACGCUCAUGCACGAAAGCGUGGGGAGCAAACAGG